CUGGAGUCGAUCGUACAGCCGGCGGCCUCCAUCCGCGUCGGCAGCCUCCAUCCGCAGCAGACAGGUGACGACCUCCAUCCACGCCGGCACCCUCCAUCCAAAUUUGACUGCCGGUGGCCUCCAUCCGCGCUGGAGUACUCCGUCCACGCCGACACCCUCCAUCCAAAUCUGAUAGCCGGCGGCCUCCAUCCGCGUCGGAUAUUUCGCCAUGAUGAGUACUUGUCUGAGGACCAUAUUGGAGAGAAAAGUCCCCAAAAAAAUGUUGCAUCAUCUGAACAAAACAUAAGUAAUAAAGAAGACCAUUUAGAUAGCAGAAGCGAUAAUGAGUCCCAAGACAUAACUAUGUCAAAUAACAUAAAUGGAGAGGACCAACUUGAUGGCGCUGAUGAGGUUAAAGAGGUUAAAAGGCGUGGGAAGACAAAACUUAUUAAUGUUUGGAACAUUCCAAGAGGCCAUAGGGUUGUAGUUAAUUGUAAUGAGCUGAAUCAGCCUAUCGGAGAAGAGGCAGGAGUCCUUGCAAAAUUCCUUGGCAUGGUUGCUAAGAAUGGCUCCUUGUGUAGCUUAAGCUUCAAGGAUUGGAGACUACUUAUAGGAAAGAAAGAUAGGAACCAUAAACAAAUCAAUAAGGAGGCCAUUCUUAAUCAAGUAAAGAAGAGAUUUCUUUACCCUGCCCGCAUGGAAACAUGGGUGCUGCGACCAAUUGGAGAGAGAUGGAGGCAACACAAGUCCAAUUUGAAAUCCAUUUAUUUUGACCCACAUAAGAGUCAGGAUGCUAAUAAUAGUAAUGCUCCUGAUGGUGUAUUAGCUGAUCAGUGGGUUGCGCUUGUCAAUAAUUGGAUGACCCCUAAAGCACAGGAUUUAAGUGAGGCCAAUAGGAUAAAUUGUACAAGAAGAAAGUCAAUGCAUACAUCUGGAACAAAAAGCUUUGCUCGGAGUAGAGAAGAAUUGGUAUUAUGUUUGCAAUUAUAA
rnacentral:misc_RNA from 1 species